GGCUACUGCUAUUGGGAUUCGACUAAGCCAUGCGAGUCAAGGUGUCUUCGGACGCCGGCGUACGGCUCAGUAACACGUAGGUAACCUACCCUCAGGACUGAGAUAACCCCGGGAAACUGGGGCUAAUAUUAGAUAGAUAAAAGAUACUGGAAUGUUCUUUUAUCCAAAGCUUUUGCGCCUGAGGAUGGGCCUGCGUCCGAUUAGGUUGUUGGUGGGGUAAUGGCCCACCAAGCCUACGAUCGGUACGGGCAGUGAGAGCUGAAGCCCGGAGUUGGGGACUGAGACAAGGCCCCAGGCCCUACGGGGCGCAGCAGGCGCGAAACCUCUGCAAUGCGGGAAACCGUGACAGGGGGAUCCCAAGUGCUCAUGCAUUGCAUGGGCUGUUCUUUGGUCUAAGUAGCCAGAGGAGUAAGGGCUGGGCAAGACCGGUGCCAGCCGCCGCGGUAAUACCGGCAGCUCAAGUGGUAGCCGCGAUUAUUGGGCCUAAAGCGUUCGUAGCCGGAUAAGUAAGUCUUUGGUUAAAUCCUGCGACUUAACCGUGGGAAAUCUAGAGAUACUGCUUGUCUUGAGACCGGGAGAGGUUGGAGGUACUCCCAGGGUAGGGGUGAAAUCCUGUAAUCCUGGGGGGACCACCUGUGGCGAAGGCGUCCAACUGGAACGGGUCUGACGGUGAGGGACGAAACCUAGGGGAGCGAGCCGGAUUAGAUACCCGGGUAGUCCUAGGCGUAAAUGAUGCGAGUUAAGUGUGGGGGCAUCCACGAGAUGGCCCUGUGCUGUAGGGUAGCCGUUAAACUCGCCGCCUGGGGAGUACGGUCGCAAGGCUGAAACUUAA
rnacentral:rRNA from 1 species